GGGGGAACCCUAAGAUGGCCCAAAGAUUGAGGGUCGAGUUUGUAUUUAUUCUAAAUAAUUUUUAUUUAUCAUCAUAAAGUUUAUGUUUAGUAUGUUGAGUUUAUAUUUAUUUCAAGGAGUUUAUGUUUAUUUUGAAGAUUUUUGUGUUUAUUCUUGCAUAGGAGCCACCAAGGCUAUGAAUAUGGAGGAUUUGUUUGUAUUGAUCCUAAGUCA
rnacentral:lncRNA from 1 species